rnacentral:rRNA from 1 species
UACGUAGGGGGGCAAGCGUUUGUCCGGAAUCAUUGGGCGUAAAGCGCGUGUAGGCGGCUCGGUAAGUCCGCUCUGAAAGUCCAAGGCUCAACCUUGGGAUGCGGGUGGAUACUGCCGGGCUCGAGUCCGGAAGAGGCGAGUGGAAUUCCUGGUGUAGCGGUGAAAUGCGCAGAUAUCAGGAGGAACACCAAUGGCGAAGGCAGCUCGCUGGGACGUGACUGACGCUGAGACGCGAAAGCGUGGGGAGCAAACAGG